rnacentral:ribozyme from 11 species
AUUCAUGCACAGACAGACGAAGAGAAACAAACCAAAAAAGAAAGGGCGGGCAAAAAAAAGGACAGAAAGAAACACUUCAUUUCCUCCCUCCUUUUUCUCUCUUCCUUCUUCUGCCUC